CUGUAACACCCCGCUUUUUCCUCGCUAAAUUUAGAGUAAUUUUGAACUUAGAAGUCAUGAUGAUUCACGCCGGAUAUAAAGAAAAUGAAUUUAUUUUAAUUCCAACAAAAAUGAUUUACAAAAACAUUUGUAAAUUUAGUUAUUAAAUUUAUAUGCAUUUCAUAUUUAUUUAUAUUAAGCAUUUAGCAUCUACACGAGCUAUUUAUUUAAGCAAAUACUGAACGAUUAUUACAGUUUUCAUAGUACAACCCGGAAGACUUUUUAUUUUAUUCAAUCACCUAAUUUCUCCACCCACUCUUCCACAUCCACCUACUCUUCCACCACUACACCCUUUUUCCUCCACCACUACUCCCACUACUCCCACUACAUCCACCUACACCCACUCUUUCCACCCACUUUACACUUCACUCUCGGCUCUCACUAAAUCUCUCUCUAUACUCUCUUUUCCUCCAUUGAUGUCCAUUGAAGAAAGCUUAGAGAAGCUUCAUCAAACACUACUAUGAGAUAAUCCACCAUCCAAUCCAAUCAAAUACUAUCAUAUCUCAUCAAAUUCAAGAAGCUAGAGCUAAGAUCAAAGUUGGAGCAAAGUCUUGAUCACCUUUUAAAUCCUUGAGUAAGUGAUCUUAGAUUAUUUAUUUGAUCAUAUUAAUGAUAUGUGAGUGAGUAUAUGAUCAUGAUUGAGCAAGAAAUCACCCUAAUUUAUUUUUAUGAAACUUUCGAAAAUUUAGGAGCUUGAAACCCUACGAAUUUUGUUGUUAUUUCUUGACUUGGCUUGAGUUAUAUGAUGAUGGAUUUGAGUUUAUGAGAUGAUCUAGAUGAUUAAUGAUGGAUGAGAUUGAAGCUUGAGGUUGAGAAGUGAAAAAUGAAAAAUGUUAGUUUGAGGAAGAAGAUGAUAUAUAUGUGUUUCUAUAUGUGAUUUUGUUAUAUGAUGUUGAUUUGAAGAUUUGAGUGGGUAUAUGAUUUCUUGAGCAUGCUAUGAUGUUAAGUGAUGGUUUAGAUUGAUGAUUAGAAGUGAUGAAAUGAGUUUUGGGAUGAGUUGUUGUUGAGAAUUAUGAUGUUAUAUUCAAGUUAGAGAUAUUAUUAAGAUAUAUAAGUUUUAAAUACAAUUUGGAGAAUUUCGUAGGCCUACUGACCUACUGUGAUCGAUGGUUUGUCGAUGUCUAAUAGCUUUGAAAAUUUUAUAGCAAGUUUCUACAUGAGUAUUGAGUACCCUGGUAAAAUUUCAAGCUAUUUCAAUUUCGUUUGAUAUUUCUUUAAAAUGCAAAACCUAAACUGCACAUUACCACCGAGAAUUUCAGAGAACAGUGGAAAGAGUCAUUCAUUUCAGUAGCUUCCUGUGUGAUAUAGAUUUCCAAAUUUUUAUGGUAUUAACCUUAUUGUGUUAUCUAGAUAUCCACCAAAUUUGAGCCCAGUUUGACAACGUUUACUAUUUUCAAAAAUCAAAGUUUUCGAUUGCUCAAAACUGCCGAAUAUGGUAGAUCGUGGUAAAAACGUCAUAUCUCUCAAACCACUUGGAGUUUUCGCCUCUACUUUUUUUAUAUGAAACUAGACUCGAAGAUCUUUCUUGUGGUAUGAGUCUCGAGUCCAGGAGAUAUCAGAGUCAGAACAGAUUAAAUUUUGAAGUUGAACCAGUGUAAAAACAGAGCAUGUUUUAAUGAUGUUUGAUUGUGAUUCUUAUGUGCCUUAUGUGAUUGUGUUGCCUAUGUGUUUGAAUUUUCACUAAAUUAUUUUAGUGAAUUUAAAUCUCUUGAUUUAAAAUUUAAUAUUUAAGGUUGGGACUAUUUAUUUUAAAUGAGGUCCGUUCUUUUAUCUAGUUUGUUGAUGGACUUUAAAAAUGAAAACAAAUUUUGGGAUUAAACCCUCAUUUUUAUAAUAUUUCAAGGCUUUUUGANUGACUUAGAGCUUAUAAGAGAUAAGAAGUUGACAUGAUUGGGGGCGAAGCUCCCAUUGACUGAGUGAUUCGUUGUGCUGGGUCUGGCCAGCCCACAUAACUAAGAUCUCGGUGAUUGUCAAUUUAAGAUUUUUACUUUGAGUAGAGCGUCAUCCCAAUGUAUAGAAGCUCACUAUGUAGUUCUCACAAUAAGAUUUUGCUUCCAUCACGAUAAGCAUAAUAUGAUUAGAAUGAGUUCGUUUGUCACCAGUUCUUGAGACUAUAGACAUGGUAUUCUCACAAUUAGAAAGAUUCGAUAACAAUCAAGCUAUUUAGUCGCACUGAUAGUGAAGUCUAGUAUCCCAAACUAGAUUAUCCAGAUAUGCAAUUUCGAGGACGAAAUUUUUAUAAGGAGGGAGGAAUGUAACACCCCGCUUUUUCCUAGCUAAAUUUAGAGUAAUUUUGAACUUAGAAGUCAUGAUGAUUCACGCCGGAUAUAAAGAAAAUGAAUUUAUUUUAAUUCCAACAAAAAUGAUUUACAAAAACAUUUGUAAAUUUAGUUAUUAAAUUUAUAUGCAUUGCAUAUUUAUUUAUAUUAUGCAUUUAGCAUCUACACGAGCUAUUUAUUUAAGCAAACACUGAACGAUUAUUACAAUUUUCAUAGUACAACCCGGAAGACUUUUUAUUUUAUUCAAUCACCUAAUUUCUCCACCUAAUUUCUCCACCUACUCUUCCACAUCCACCUACUUUCCCACCACUACUCCUACCUCCCCACCACUACAUUCCAUAUUACACUUAUCAAUAUUACACUUAGCAAGACAAAGCACACUUCAUUUCUUCCUCACACUUCAUUCUCGGCCUCCCCUCUCUCUCUCUAUACUCUCUUUUCCUCCAUUGAUGUCCAUUGAAGAAAGCUUAGAGAAGCUUCAUCAAACACUACUAUGAGAUAAUCCACCAUCCAAUCCAAUCAAAUACUAUCAUAUUUCAUCAAAUUCAAGAAGCUAGAGCUAAGAUCAAAGUUGGAGCAAAGUCUUGAUCACCUUUUAAAUCCUUGAGUAAGUGAUCUUAGAUUAUUUAUUUGAUCAUAUUAAUGAUAUGUGAGUGAGUAUAUGAUCAUGAUUGAGCAAGGAAAUCACCCAACUUAUUUUUAUGAAACUUUCGAAAAUUAGGAGCUUGAAACCCUACGAAUUUUGUUGUUUAUUUUCUUGACUUGGCUUGAGUUAUAUGAUGAUGGAUUUGAGUUUAUGAGAUGAUCUAGAUGAUUAAUGAUGGAUGAGAUUGAAGCUUGAGGUUGAGAAGUGAAAAAUGAAAAAUGUUAGUUUGAGGAAGAAGAUGAUAUAUAUGUGUUUCUAUAUGUGAUUUUGUUAUAUGAUGUUGAUUUGAAGAUUUGAGUGAGUAUAUGAGUUCUUGAGCAUGCUAUGAUGUUAAGUGAUGGUUUAGAUUGAUGAUUAGAAGUGAUGAAAUGAGUUUUGGGAUGAGUUGUUGUUGAGAAUUAUGAUGUUAUAUUCAAGUUAGAGAUAUUAUUAAGAUAUAUAAGUUUUAAAUACAAAUUGGAGAAUUUCGUAGGCCUACUGACCUACUGUGAUCGAUGGUUUUUAGAUGUCUAAUAGCUUUGAAAAUUUUAUAGCAAGUUUCUACAUGAGUCUUGAGUACCCUGGUAAAAUUUCAAGCUAUUUCAACUUCGUUUGAUAUUUCUUUAAAAUGCAAAACCUAAACUGCACAUUAUUACCGAGAAUUUUAGAGAACAGGGGAACGAUUCAUUCAUUUCAGUAGCUUCCUAUGUGAUCUAGCUUUCCAAAUUUUUAUGGUAUCAACCUUAUUGUGUUAGCUAGAUAUCCACCAAAGUUGAGCCCAGUUUGACAACGUUUACUAUUUUUCAAAAAUUGUAACCUUCGGUUGCACAAAACUGCCAAAAAUGGUAGAUCGUGGUAAAAACGUCAUAUCUCUCAAACCACUUGGAGCUUUCGACUCUAUUUUUUUUUAAAUGAAACUAGACUCGAAGAUAUUUCUUUCAGUAUGAGUCUCGAGUCCAGGAGAUGUCGGAGUCAGAACAGUUUAAAUUUUGAAGUUGAACCAGUGUAAAAACAGAGCAUGUUUUAAUGAUGUUUGAUUGUGAUUCUUAUGUGCCUUAUGUGAUUGUGUUGCCUAUGUGUUUGAAUUUUCACUAAAUUAUUUUAGUGAAUUUAAAUCUCUUGAUUUAAAUUUUAAUAUUUAAGGUUGGGACUAUUUAUUUUAAAUGAGGUCCGUUCUUUUAUUUAAUUUAUUGAUGGACUUUAAAAAUGAAAACAAAUUUUGGGAUUAAACCCUCAUUUUUAUAAUAUUUCAAGGCUUUUUGAGUAUGGAUUUUAAAUGGUUAAAAUGUUUUAUUUCAUCUCAAUGGAUUUUAAAAUGUUUUAUUAUUUAUAAAUGAAUAAUGGAAUUUCUUAUUUAUUUACAUGAAAAAAAAAAUGAAAUGUAUAGAAUGUUAUAAAAAUGGUGCAUGAUUUCUUUUAUGUUCAUGUGAACUUGUGAUUUUUAAUGAUACUAAACUUGAGGAUUUUAUUUCUUUCUGUUUAUUGUUUACGUGAUUACGUGAUAUUAUGUGGUUAGUCACGAGGUUAUGUUGGUUUUCGAUUGUCUUUAAUGGAACGAAUUAUGGAUGCUAGAACCCUAAAACACUAAAAGAAAAUCGAGUAAGGAUAUUGUUGGUGUCCUUAACUCAAGAAAUUUAGUUUUCAAGUAUUUAUUCAUUAAAUUUGAAAACCCGGCGUGAUGAAUCAAGUAUGUUUAGUACAUCCACAAAUACAUUAAGAUUAGUUUCAUGAGACCUAUUAAGGAUAGAAUUUCUUGUAGGCUUUGUGAUGACCAGGAGGAUUAGCGCUACUUUUCCAAGACAGGUUUAUAUGUGUAUGAUCUUCAGGCUUUGCCUAUCCAGGUGGGCUUACUUUCCAAAUGUACAAAGUAUGAUUGAGUUAUUAAGCUCUAAAUGUUUUCAAUGAAAUGCAAAUUGUUUAUUUAAUGUAAUGAAAACUGUUUAUCCAAUAAAAUAUUUUGUGCACUCUGCUCUGUUUAAGGCUCGCAUAAGUUAAUCGAUCGAGGUUCUCUUAUGACCUAACACGUUGUUUGAGAAUUGUGUACACCUAUUAGCUGACUCGGUGGGUUGAUCUCCAUUCGAGCACUAAUCAUGUAUGAGGCGUUAUAAGGGUGCUCGACGGGAUGUGUUCCGGAGCAUUGGGUCCCAAAUGGGAACUUGACUGGGUUACGCCCUCAGAUCAAGUAAAGCGGGAGAUAUGGAUCCGUCGGUGGCUAAAAGGUCCGGGAUCACAGCGAGUAACAGAAAGGGAGUGUGACAUGUGCGCACAAAUGAAAAAUGUUUUAACAUGCUUAGAAGUUAUUUCAUUUUAAAACCUUCUAAGUCAUGUCAAGUAUAAUUGGAUAAACUGCUCUUACGAAAAUAUGAAACGUUUAUGAAAAUGCAUGCCCACUAAGUACAUUAGUACUUAGCCCAAAAAAUACUUUCAAAUGUUUUCAGGUUGGCUGGCUGGUGCUGACGGGACGGAGCUGAGGCUAGAGUUAAAAUUCAUAUGUUAGACUUCCGCUGUAGCAAUUACUCUUAUACAUCUUUUGUUUUCUCAACUUAAGAUGACUUCAUGUCGAGCUUAAAUUUGAAAUUCUAGUUUUAUGCUAAUGAAUGUUGGUUGUCAGAAACAUGAAACAAAACUUGUGAUCCAAAGGGGCAUAGCCCGACUUUCUAUCCUAUUUUGGGUUUUAACGAGGUAUUUCCCUUGUUUAUUUCUAUGAAUUAUUCACACCUCGAUUAUAUUUAUUCCUUCAAGAAUUGGGGUGUGACAGAAUGGUAUCAGAGCAUGAGUUUUCUUUCAUGACUCUGAUAACCAUAAGCUUUUGAUGUCGAGUCUAGAAUAGUAUCUCUAGACUUCUAAGAAUGUCAGUAGCCCUCAGCUCACCGUCACACUGCCGCAACCAAGGUACGAUAAUAGUUUCAAAAAUAUACAUAUAUGUAUUU
rnacentral:lncRNA from 1 species